UUGCAGGCUGCAACCCGCCCUGCAUGAAGUCGGAAUUGCUAGUAAUCGCGGAUCAGCAUGCCGCGGUGAAUACGUUCCCGGGCCUUGUACACACCGCCCGUCACACCAUGGGAGCCGGUAAUACCCGAAGUCAGUAGUCCAACCUCGUGAGGACGCUGCCGAAGGUAAAACUGGUGAUUGGGUGAAGUCGUAACAAGGUAGC
rnacentral:rRNA from 1 species